rnacentral:rRNA from 1 species
UACGUAGGGUGCAAGCGUUUAAUCGGAAUUACUGGGCGUAAAGCGUGCGCAGGCGGUGAUGUAAGACAGAUGUGAAAUCCCCGGGCUCAACCUGGGAACUGCAUUUGUGACUGCAUCGCUGGAGUGCGGCAGAGGGGGAUGGAAUUCCGCGUGUAGCAGUGAAAUGCGUAGAUAUGCGGAGGAACACCGAUGGCGAAGGCAAUCCCCCUGGGCG